GAUGAACGCUGGCGGCGUGCCUAAUACAUGCAAGUCGAGCGAACGGACGAGAAGCUUGCUUCUCUGAUGUUAGCGGCGGACGGGUGAGUAACACGUGGAUAACCUACCUAUAAGACUGGGAUAACUUCGGGAAACCGGAGCUAAUACCGGAUAAUAUUUUGAACCGCGUGGUUCAAAAGUGAAAGACGGUCUUGCUGUCACUUAUAGAUGGAUCCGCGCUGCAUUAGCUAGUUGGUAAGGUAACGGCUUACCAAGGCAACGAUGCAUAGCCGACCUGAGAGGGUGAUCGGCCACACUGGAACUGAGACACGGUCCAGACUCCUACGGGAGGCAGCAGUAGGGAAUCUUCCGCAAUGGGCGAAAGCCUGACGGAGCAACGCCGCGUGAGUGAUGAAGGUCUUCGGAUCGUAAAACUCUGUUAUUAGGGAAGAACAUAUGUGUAAGUAACUGUGCACAUCUUGACGGUACCUAAGCAGAAAGCCACGGCUAACUACGU
rnacentral:rRNA from 1 species